rnacentral:lncRNA from 1 species
AUGAAAGGUAAGGGCUUCACAGAGGCACAGGCUCUGCUGCAAAUCAGUAGGUGCAUGAUGAAAAACUAUGUAAGCAUGUUUACACAGAUUAAAAGCAGCAGGAGUCCCAUGUACCGGAGUCCAACAAGUGCAAAUGAGUGUCCCCAGCACUGCACUGCUUGCAGAGACGUGGGACGCAGGCUCCCUUGUGCUGGUGAUGGUUUGACGGCGUACCCUCAGCUGCCCUCUCGUCGUCUGCUUCCCCGUCCGCAAGUGGCUCCUGGAUCGCUCCUCCUGCUCCGCCAUCACCCUGCGAGAGCCGGGAGAAGCGGGUGUCCGUGGUGCCGGGGGAGCCCCGUCCUCGGGCAGGUCUGGGCCGGGGUCUCCCUGCCGGCACGGACCCGUCCCGCCGCCCUCGCCGGCGCCGGGGCAGCGUCUUCCCGGCCUCCCGCGGGGCUCUCGGGGCAGGGACGGGAGACGGCGCGAGGAGGGGACGCGGCCCGUCCCGCAGGCACGGCGCCCUGYGGCUGCGCUCCGCACGUCGGGCUACGCCGGGAGCGGCUGGAGACCCCGCUCCGGGCAGGCGGGAUUCCCCGCAGGAGGCGGUGGCCGUCCUUACCUCGGCGGGUCCCUGUGCGCGGCGUGGCCCGGGACCUGCGGGGAGCAGAGCAGGGACAGACGGUGCGGCGUGGAGCGCGGGAGGAGCGGCCCCCGGCCCGCAGCGCGGCUCCGUCCCGCGGGAGCUGGGGCGCGGAAGCACCGGUGCCGCCUGCCCGGAGGCUCCCGGCAUCCCGCGCCCCGCGGCUGGCGUCCGGCAGCACCCGCAACCCCGGCACCGCCAGCAGCCGCUGGCCGGGAUGGUCCGGAGCGGGAACAUCCCCCCGUGCCCCGGAGAGGGGCCGGCCCUCCUCACCGGCUCUCGRGUCAGGGGGCCCAUCGGGGACUCGGAGCGCGGUACCGCAGCGGCUGCGUCCCGGUCCGCACGGGCUCGAGGGAAACAGCCAGCAAAUCCCCGCUGUGCCGGGAGGGCGGGAAGCCGGGGUCACCGCUCUGCAGGAGGAGCCCCGACAUGCGGUGGAGGCGGCCGGCUGCACAUCCCCGUCCCGGGGACAGGACGCGCGGGACGGCCGCUUGCCCCGGGGCUCAUCCACCUGCUCCGGCAGCCGGGGUCCGGGGACGUUUCCUGUCCCCAGGGCCCGUCCGCCCGCGGAGGCCGCCUUGGCACGGCCUUGGCACGGCCGGGGCGGGUGCCAUGCAGCRAGGGUGGGAUCGCCAAGGCCGGGGGCCCCCGGGGAGGUGCACGGCCCUCRGGAGGGACCGUCCGGCCGCACCGCUCUCGCGGCACCCGCUGCCGCCCCCGGGGCUCGCCGGAGCCCCCGGUGCGGAUGA